UUUGACCUCGGAUCAGGUAGGAAUACCCGCUGAACUUAAGCAUAUCAAUAAGCGGAGGAA
rnacentral:rRNA from 11 species